AGGGACAGUACCCCGUGUGAGGACUGCACU
rnacentral:piRNA from 1 species